rnacentral:siRNA from 1 species
AUUGUACCAACUAAACCAGUCAAU